UACGUAGGGUGCGAGCGUUAUUCGGAAUUAUUGGGCGUAAAGCGUGCGCAGGCGGUGAUGUAAGUCCGAUGUGAAAUCCCCGGGCUUAACCUGGGAACUGCAUUGGUGACUGCAUUGCUGGAGUAUGGCAGAGGGGGGUGGAAUUCCACGUGUAGCAGUGAAAUGCGUAGAGAUGUGGAGGAACACCGAUGGCGAAGGCAGCCCCCUGGGCCAAUACUGACGCUCAUGCACGAAAGCGUGGGGAGCAAACAGG
rnacentral:rRNA from 1 species